rnacentral:rRNA from 1 species
GAUGAACGCUGGCGGCGUGCCUAAUACAUGCAAAUCGAGCGAACAGACGAGGAGCUUGCUCCUCUGACGUUAGCGGCGGACGGGUGAGUAACACGUGGAUAACCUACCUAUAAGACUGGGAUAACUUCGGGAAACCGGAGCUAAUACCGGAUAAUAUAUUGAACCGCAUGGUUCAAUAGUGAAAGACGGUUUUGAUGUCACUUAUAGAUGGAUCCGCGCCGCAUUAGCUAGUUGGUAAGGUAACGGCUUACCAAGGCAACGAUGCGUAGCCGACCUGAGAGGGUGAUCGGCCACACUGGAACUGAGACACGGUCCAGACUCCUACGGGAGGCAGCAGUAGGGAAUCUUCCGCAAUGGGCGAAAGCCUGACGGAGCAACGCCGCGUGAGUGAUGAAGGUCUUCGGAUCGUAAAACUCUGUUAUUAGGGAAGAACAAAUGUGUAAGUAACUAUGCACGUCUUGACGGUACCUAAUCAGAAAGCCACGGCUAACUACGUG